rnacentral:rRNA from 1 species
UACAGAGGGUGCAAGCGUUAAUCGGAAUUACUGGGCGUAAAGCGCGCGUAGGUGGUUUGUUAAGUUGGAUGUGAAAGCCCCGGGCUCAACCUGGGAACUGCAUUCAAAACUGACAAGCUAGAGUAUGGUAGAGGGUGGUGGAAUUUCCUGUGUAGCGGUGAAAUGCGUAGAUAUCCGAAGGAACAUCAGUGGCGAAAGCGACUUCCUGGACCAGAACUGACGUUCAGGCACGAAAGCGUGGGGAGCAAACAGG